rnacentral:misc_RNA from 1 species
AAAAAAAAAAAAAAAAAGGAAGGAUGGAGCUGCGAGAAAAGCCCAUCUCUCUCCCGCCCAUUUAUCUCCGAAGACCUCUCUUAUUUCCAUUUUCAGAUUUUGCUCAUUUGUCAGUUGUGGCUUUGUUUCAAGUUUCUUUCUGCCAUUUAUAUUUAAAAUCUCCAAUGGGUGCGUUGUGAUUAGUGAUUACUUCUCAGUGCUCACUACUCACUUCAGGAGAGGCCAAAUAUGCUUUCCGUGGAUCAAAAAGAACAAACCGGAGAACUUGUUGACAAGGACAAGCUAACAACUUUUAUCAAAUUAUAAUUUAUUUUAGCAAAAGUGUAACGGCGUCGACACUUGCCACGAAAUCUGGCAAAUCCUGUAUAGUCAUAUCAACCCAAAAGAAGCAUCAAAAGAACCAAGACCCCAUGAUCAUGAUCUUGUGUUGUAUUUGUCCCAUGAUGAUAAGGGAGAGAAUGGGGUCAUGAAAACUCUAUACAUCCAUCCUUCUAAUCACACGCAGUGAUAGAAUGUGGGUCCCCAAUCUUAUGAUAAGUACUAGUCUGUCUACGCAUAUAAAGAAGCAGAUCGAAGCGCUGGAUACUAUCUUGUAAUAAUAUAUGAUUUUGGUGAAAUUAGAAAUUAUAUUUUUAUUCUAUUAUGUAUAAUAUUAAUUUUUAUAUCUUGUACAAAAUAAUUAAUGUAUUCUAUAAUUACUCAUCUUUUACGUAUUGGCUUACGCCAACCUGCG